rnacentral:rRNA from 1 species
GAUGAACGCUGGCGGCGUGCUUAACACAUGCAAGUCGAACGAUGAAGCCCAGCUUGCUGGGUGGAUUAGUGGCGAACGGGUGAGUAACACGUGAGUAACCUGCCCUUAACUCUGGGAUAAGCCUGGGAAACUGGGUCUAAUACCGGAUAGGAGCGUCCACCGCAUGGUGGGUGUUGGAAAGAUUUAUCGGUUUUGGAUGGACUCGCGGCCUAUCAGCUUGUUGGUGAGGUAAUGGCUCACCAAGGCGACGACGGGUAGCCGGCCUGAGAGGGUGACCGGCCACACUGGGACUGAGACACGGCCCAGACUCCUACGGGAGGCAGCAGUGGGGAAUAUUGCACAAUGGGCGCAAGCCUGAUGCAGCGACGCCGCGUGAGGGAUGACGGCCUUCGGGUUGUAAACCUCUUUCAGUAGGGAAGAAGCGAAAGUGACGGUACCUGCAGAAGAAGCACCGGCUAAAUACGUG